rnacentral:rRNA from 1 species
UACGGGACUCUAUUGAGGCCCCGUAAUCGGAAUGAGUACACUUUAAAUCCUUUAACAAGGAUCCAUUGGAGGGCAAGUCUAGUGCCAGCAGCCGCGGUAAUUCUAGCUCCAAUAGCGUAUAUUAAAGUUGUUGCGGUUAAAAAGCUCGUAGUUGGUUCUGCGUGCCGCGCUGUCGGUUCGCCGCCUGUCGGUGUAACUGGCAUGUUGCAGCAUGUCCUGUCGGUGGUGAGCGGGAUCCUUGAUGAGGGGGAAGCUAACGUGGAACUCUCUUCAAGUGUAUCUAGUUUGCCGAUCUCCUACUCCGGUGCUCUUAAGUGAGUGUCGAAGUAGGCCGACACGUUCACUUUGAACAAAUUAGAGUGCUUAAAGCAGGCCGAAAUAUCUGCCUGAAUAGUGGUGCAUGGAAUGAUAAAAUAGGACCUCGGUUCUAUUUUGUUGGUUUUAGGAAUAUGAGGUAAUGAUCAAUGUGGACUGGCGGGGGCAUUCGUAUUGCGACGUUAGAGGUGAAAUUCUUGGAUCGUCGCAAGACGCACUAGAGCGAAAGCAUUUGCCAAGUAUGUCUUAAUUGAUCAAGAACGAAAGUUAGAGGUUCGAAGGCGAUCAGAUACCGCCCUAGUUCUAACCAUAAACGAUGCCAGCCAGCGAUCCGCCAAUGUUCCUUUAAUGAC